rnacentral:rRNA from 14 species
AUCUGUGGCCACACCACACUGAACACACGUGAUCUCAUAUGAUCUCAGAGGCUAAGCAACUUCGAGCCUGGUUCAUACUUGGAGGGUUGGAGGACAGAGUCUCACGGUCC